AACGUAGGAGACAAACGUUAUCCGGAGUUACUGGGCGUAAAGGGCGUGUAAGUGGUAAUGUAAGUCUGGCGUGAAAUUUUUCGGCUUAACCGGGAAAGGUCGUCGGAGACUGCAUAACUAGAGGACGGUAGAGGCGUGUGGAAUUCCGGGUGUAGUGGUGAAAUGCGUAGAGAUCCGGAGGAACACCAGUGGCGAAGGCGACACGCUGGGCCGUACCUGACACUGAUGCGCGACAGCAUGGGGAGCAAACAGG
rnacentral:rRNA from 1 species